rnacentral:tRNA from 2 species
CAAAGAAUAGUUAAACCAUAAUACUAGCUUUGGGAGCUAGAGAUGGGAGUUAGACCCUCUCUUCUUUGA